UGUGUCUACCAUGGCCUGGACUCCUCUCCUUCUUGUGCUCCUUUCUCACUGCAUAGGUUCCCUCUCCCAGUCUGUGCUGACUCAGCUGCCCUCCCUCUCUGCAUUUCUGGGAACAACGGCCAGACUCACAUGCACCCUGAGCAGUGGGGUCAAUGUUGGUGGAUACAGGAUUUACUGGAUCCAGCAGAAGCCAGGGAGUGCUCCCCAGUAUCUCCUGUACUACCACACAGACUCAGACAAGUACCAGGGCUCCAGGGUCCCCAGCCGCUUCUCUGGAUCCAAGGAUGCCACGACCAAGGCAGGCCUUUUGCUCAUCUCUGGGCUCCAGCUUGAGGAUGAAGCUGACUAUUACUGUUUGAUCUGGCAUAGCAGUGCUUACCACAGUGACACAGGCAGGUGGGGAAGGUCCCUGUCCCAGCCUGUGCUGACUCACUUGCCCUCUACAUCUGCCUCCCUGGGAGCCCCAGCUAAGCUCCCCUGCACCCUGAGCAGUGAAUACAGCAGCUACUGGAUUGAGUGGUACCAGCAGAGGCCAGGGAAGGGGCCCCAGUAUGCAAUGUACAUGAAGAGUGAUGGAAGCCAUAGCAAGGGUGAUGGGAUCACUGAUCACUUCUCAGGCUCCAGCUCUGGUGCCAACCACUACUUAACCAUCAGCGAACUCCAACCUGAGGAUGGGGCUGCCUAUUUUUGUGGGGCACAUCAUGGCAGUGAGAGCAGAUGUGUGUAA